rnacentral:rRNA from 1 species
UUUUAGUGGUCUUAUUUUAUGUUUGGUUUGUUUAAUAAAUUAAUAAAAAAAUUUUUGAUUUUAGUAUAGUGUAUAGAAAAAUAUGUAUUUAUUAUAGUGUAAAGUACUGUGAGGGAAUGGUUUGUAAGUUUUAAAAGAAUAAUUAAAUUUUAGUACCUUUUGUAUCAGGGCCGAUUAAGUUUUUUGCAGAUGCAAGUUUCCCGAAUUUAUAAGAGUUAAUAGUUUAUAUUUUUUGUUGUGUCAUAAAGAUUAAUAAUAUACUAUUGGAAGUGAAAUGUUAUUCGGUUAUAAAUAUAUCUGGUUUCUUAAGAAGUUAAUUUAAUUAAGUGGUUUUUACAAUGGAUAUUAAUUUUAUUUGUGUUGUUGAAUACCUAAAAUAUUGAUUGGGAUGAGCUAGUCAAUGGGCCUAUAAUUUGUGUUUGGGAAGAAUUAUAUAGGAUUAGAAGUUUUCAUUGUAAAAGUUUGUUAUAAGUUUUUUUAUUUAAUUAUUAUUCUUUAUAUGGAAAAUUUAGGUUUGCUAUUAAGAUGUUGAUUUUAACUUUAAAUUUCAAUUGAUUAUGAUUGGAUUAGUAUAUAUAAAAUGUAAGUUAAAUUUUGUUGUUAGAUAAGUUUAAGGAAUUCGGCAAAUUUAUUUUUCACCUGUUUAUUAAAAACAUGUCUCUUUGAUAAUGAUUUAGAGUCUGGUCUGCCCACUGAUAAGUUGAAUGGCCGCAGUAUUUUGACUGUGCAAAGGUAGCAUAAUCAUUAGUUUUUUAAUUGAAAGCUGGAAUGAAAGGCUUGAUGAAAAAAUAGCUGUCUUGGGCUUAAAUUUAGAAUUUUAUUUUUGAGUUAAAAAGCUCAUAUAUAAUAGAAAGACGAGAAGACCCUAUAGAUUUUUACUUGUGGAAGAGCUAUUAGUAUUUGGAUUUAUAUUAUUGUUGUUUGAUAGCAAGUUUCGUUGGGGUGAUGGGAAAACUAGAAUAACUUUUCUUAUUUUAAACAUAAUUGUGUGUGUUUGUGAUCCUUAUAAAAGAUUAAAAGACUAAAUUACCUUAGGGAUAACAGCGUAAUUUUCUUGGAGAGUUCAAAUUGAUAGGAAAGGUUGCGACCUCGAUGUUGGAUUAAGGUUUAUUUAGGGUGCAGAAGCUUUAAAAUUGGGUCUGUUCGACCCAUAAAACCUUACAUGAUCUGAGUUUAGACCGGCGUGAGCCAGGUUGGUUUCUAUCUUCUUUAUAGUUUAAUAAUCUAGUACGAAAGGACCGGUUAUUAUAUUUAUAAUAUGGGAGAUUGAGUAAAAUU